ensembl:lncRNA
CUCUAAGGCUGUUUACUCUGAGGUCCUUUACUCUGAGGCUGUUACUCUAAGGCUGUUUACUCUGAGGUCCUGUACUCUGAGGCUGUUUACUCUGAGGUCCUUUACUCUGAGGCUGUUUACUCUAAGGUCCUUUACUCUGAGGCUGUUUACUCUAAGGCUGUUUACUCUGAGGUCUUUUACUCUGAGGCUGAUUACACUAAGGUCCUUUACUCUAAGGCUGUUUACUCUGAGGUCCUUUACUCUGAGGGUGUUUACUCUAAGGCUGUUUACUCUGAGGUCCUUUACUCUGAGGCUGUUUACUCUGAGGUCCUUUACUCUGAGGUCCUUUACUCUGAGGCUGUUUACUCUAAGGCUGUUUACUCCGAGGUCCU